rnacentral:tRNA from 1 species
GGGCGAUUAACUCAGAGGCUAGAGUGCUUCCCUUACAAGGAAGAAGUCAUAGGUUCAACUCCUAUAUCGCCCACCA